rnacentral:misc_RNA from 1 species
UCAGUCGGUUUUGGGAACAUUGAUUCCGUCGUGACGGAACUAACCUUCGGACGAAACUAACCUUGAAAAUACCUCUCUGUUUUGAUUUUACUUGGAAGGAGUUUAAUGUAGCAGGUUUAAUUAAUUAAGAAAGAAUGGGAUGCGACGACGACGAAACGCAUAAUAUCCAGUUUAAAAAGAAGAAGAAGACGAAAUCUUUAAGGAAACUCGAAGCUUCUCGGUUUGACAGCGAGGGAGAGAAAAUGUCCAAGAGAAAGUCGAGGAGAUGAAGAUCAUUCAGAAACUCCGCGAGAUACCGGCUGGCGUUGAUAUUGUUGGUUUGGCGCUUGAAGAAAGCGUCUCAUUCGUGUGUUGAUGGGUCAAGUAUAUAGAAGAAGAAUUGUCAAAGCGCAAAAUAAUAAUGAUGCAGCGAAUAGUAUGAAUAAUGAUAAGGGAUCACCAUUGUUCACCAGAGAAAGCAGCAUUGUGCUGAGAAAAAAUGCACUAUCAAAGAAAGAAAAAUGUACUACAUUUGAGGAAAACGAAAAAAUAACGGAGAGAAGACGAUGGACAAUUACCAUUAUGAAAGAUUUAAAAAGCAAUUCAGACGAUUUUGAAUUAAACUUGUAUAAUUAAUUAUCUUAUUAUAGUUUUUAAAUUUAUAUAAGUAAACGUUGAUGAUUUCUUAUAUUAGAUGUUUUUUUAAUUGUAAUUUAAAAUUAAGAAUAAAGAAAUAAUAAAAAAAGGAUCAAGGAACAAUGCAA